AGGAAUGUAUAGCUAUAGCUAGUUGCAUCAUUGUAAAUAUGAUGCAAGAUUGACUAUGUUGAAUAAAAUUCUAGGUAGAGUUAUGAUAAUGACAUUUUCUGCCUAUGUGUCUUGACCAAAUUACGUGCCAGCAGUCGCGGUAAUACGUAAAAGACUAGUGUUAUUCAUGUUUUCGGUUUAAAGGGUACCUAGACGGCAGAUCAAGCUUACCUUGCAGAGAAAAAAAUAAAAUUAAAAAGGACUAAUUUGCUAGAGUUACUUACGAGGGGGUUAUAAAGUACUACUGGUGUAGAGAUGAAAUUCUGUCAUACCUCUUUUCGAAAGAAAAAAAAAGGCACAGGUAUAGGCGAAGGCAUCCCCUUAUGUGAUAACUGACGUUGAGGGACGAAGGCUUUAUCUAAUGAACAGGAUUAGGUACCCUAGUAGUGGAAGCAGAAAAUGAUGAAUGUCAUAGAUUAGAUUAGUUUAUUCUAUAAAUGAAAGUGUAAGCAUUCCACCUCAUGAGUAAUUUGGCAACAUUGGAAUUGAAAUCAUUAGACCGUUUCUGAAACCAGUAGUGAAGUAUGUUGUUUAAUUUGAUGAUCCGCAAAAAACCUUACCACAAUUUGAAUAUUUAUAUUAUAUUUAUAGUUUUUUUAUUAAUUUUCUUUAAGCAUUCCAGAAAAUUAAUAAAGAGGCUAUAAGAUAUAUUUACAAGCGUUGCACGGCUGUCUUCAGUUAAUGUCGUGAGAUUUUGGUUAGAUCCAUUAAAUUAANGUAAACCCGCACUGUAUUUUU
rnacentral:rRNA from 1 species